rnacentral:lncRNA from 1 species
UAAGUUUUCAAUUUGUCCCCACUAACAACAGGCCUGGCAGAACUGGAAGUAUCAUAUUUUAGGGUGAGCGACAAGGUGAAGCCGAUAUGUAAUUGAGGGAAAUUGCAGAAUAUCAGGACCUCUCAGAACGAAUCUCAUUACUUAGAACACAGACAUUAAAUUCAGCUCAACUGUUUGGUUGAUUCUGAGAACUGUGAUUCAAAGACAUUUUAAAAUAAAUCCCUAGUACUGGUGAUGUGCAACAUUUCCUUGCACACCCAUGUUUGUUUCCUCCUGUAGUGAAUCUUUUUAGGCAACGCACUAAUAAAUGUAUAGAAAAAUUCCAGGGUUUAUUAGUCAUUACUGAAUGAAACACUGCAAACCAACAACUGUUGCAACUGUUGUUGGCUCCUAACAUGUUCCCAAGUGUUUCACGCUAACUGAAGAAUGUUGUUUGGUCACUUGACACAGGGAAGUACAGGCAGACCGGUAGAAAUCGUUGUCUCAGUGUAGUCGCAGUUCAGAUUUCCCUUCAGCGCCUAAUCAUUAUGAUUUCAAGACUCUUGUACAAUUUUGGGUGUGUUUUGUGUGUGAUCCUGCUCCCGGCUGUAUGGGCUGAGGACUGCCGUGACUUCACGGAGAGGGGUAGUUCUUACCGUGAGCCUCUGAAAUGUGGCCCGCAGUACUGCUGUGAGAAAAGGGGCAAAAUCUACUGCUGCAGUGAAGAGGAAAACCGUGUCUUUUACCAGGAAGAAGGCCACUUUGAAAGGCUUUCUGUAAGAUCCACCUUCCCUCCCAUUAUCUUCAUCUUGAUUGGUAUUAUAGUCAUUUGUAUAAUUGUGGUCCUGAUAGUCUGCUUUGCGUGCCCCUGCUGCUUGUUGUACAAACAGUGUCAAAAAAGGCACAAUGGAACAAGACAAGCUGUGGUAACCACCACUGUCAUCGGCACAAGCCAGCUGCCUCUCUCACCCUCUGGAUAUCACCCAUCUUACCAGCCUGUGCCUGCCCCGCACGGACAAGGAGGCCCAACCCCACCUUCAUACCUGGAAGCUACUUAUUCCGCAGUUCCAUAUCCUCAGCAGCAGCCAAUGUACCCCGUCCCACCUCCUGGCCAGAAUUACCACCUGCCACCUCUUUCCGAUGAAUUUGUACAAUUGCCUUACAACCCGGCUUAUGGUCCAGACCCCUGAAGCAGAUAUAUGACCCGAUAACAACACAUUAUCGGGUGUUGGGUUAUAUUUAAACCGCAGAAACAGCUUUGUGGGAUCUCAAAUUAAAUAUAUCUGGUUAAAAUUCCUCAUUAUAAUUUAAACUGGACAAAAUGUUUUUCUUCCUCUAGAAACUGCUGAGCUUUAUGUGUAUACGUUAAUGGAUUAUAAUUUCAGUCAUUUAAAUUUGCUAUACAAGCAUAAAUGUUGAUAAUGUUUAAAUAAAAAAAAACUUCACACUGUGUUAUAAGUUAAAUAAAUAACUUAAAUAACCUUUUUAAGUGUUUAUUCAUGAAAAAGUGUUAAAAUUAUUACUGUUUC